rnacentral:lncRNA from 1 species
GGAUGGACCUUUCUUAGUAGCAUCUUCGUCAAGACCCGGUUCAUACAGAUUGAAGGAUAUGGACGGCAACGACAUUCCUAGAUCUUGGAAUGCGGAUGAGCUUUGGCGAUAUUAUGUAUAACUCGAUGUAAUUUUUCACAUUUUUUAUUUUUCUUUCAUGGCACCCUUUUCCUUUCCGAAGGGGGAGAAAGGUUUUUAAUGGGGCCAUCACAUGUAAUUUCCUUUUUUAGUUCUAUAAGAGCAAAAUCCCCCAAGGAAUGUAAAUGUAAAAGCUGAGAACGCACCAUCGAGUGCCGAAAAGUAAAGGCGAAGAAGCUCCAAAGUCGUUCCUAAGGGAAUGCAGAGCUUACAGCGAAAAGUCAACGCUGAUACCGCCAAAAGUAAAGGAGAAGAAGCUCCAAAGUCGUUCCUAAGGGAAUGCAGAGCUUACAGCGAAAAGUCAACGCUGAUUCCGCCAAAAGUAAAGGCGAAGAAGCUCCAAAGUCGUUCCUAAGGGAAUGCAGAGCUAAGGUGUGUUUGUUUUUAAGGAAAUAAUGGCUAUGAGUAUGGCUUCGGAUACGUGUUUGGCCAUUCAUUUGCACAUCACAUUACAUCAUAGCAUUUGCUUUCAUAAACAUUCAUCCAAGCAUAUAUAGGAUAAUCAUCAUCAUGGCAUAAGUGGUUGCUUCGGCAAAAAAAAGAAAAAAAAGGGGGGAAAGAAAGAGCUUCGUGUACAAAAAGGAGAGCUUCGGAAAGAAGGGAAAUGUUGUUUUCUAUGCUUCGCUGCGUACGAAAAGAAGGGAAGGUGUUUUUUUUCGCCUUCAGCUCAAAAAAGAAAAUUUCGUCCACAUCAAAGCAUUUCUCAUACAUCAAUGGAAGGACAAGGAUAUAUUACAAGGUAUGAACAGAAUGACAAGUUUCAGUUACAUUUACAAAAGUUAUCUCAAAAGUUUCUCAAGUACUGUCUACAGUCUAUUAUUUAAUCUCCAAGGAGCUUCAGCUUCGGCGUCGUUUUCUAAUCAUUAGCUUCGGCUUCGUCAUCCUACAUGGAUAAGGUUGUUGUAUACUGUUGGGUCUAUGCUUCGUCGCCGAAGGUCUUCUAGGAAGAAGCGACUUUCGGCUGAAGCUGUUUGUAUGAGAUGGCCGAAGGUUCCUUUUCAUGAAGCUUCGGUAUUACAAACCGACUUAAAGAUAGAAUGACCUAAUAGUCCAUAAAGGUCUGAGUCAAUGUUGUAAACUUUUAUGAGGGGCAUAAUUGUAAUUCCUCACAGGCUGUGUCCUGUGCCUAUAAAUAGUGAACAGUAUUCCUUUACUGUUCACGCAUUUCUGUUAGUUGCAAUCGCAUCUUUCAGGAACCAAUCUUUGCCAAGGCAUAGGUAUUAUUGUAUUCAAUAAUUCAAUAUAUAUUAAGUAAAUAUAAUAUAAUUCGUCUAUGAUUUAUUUACCUUUUUAUACCCUUCAUUUUAUGUUAUCUCAUACAGUCUAUUGAAAUUUUUAUUACGAAGACUUGAGCUUCGUAAUUAUGUUCUCAUCAACCUUCGUCCAAGGCUCAUUAUCCUCAAGAGAAUAAUGUUUCAUGGACGAAGGACGUUAACAUUUAACAUUUUAUGUUGCCUUGUUCUUAAUUCAUAGCAUUUGAGAACAAGUCCCCAACAUUGGCGCCCACCUCCGGUGAACUCACUUCCACUUUUUGAGCUGAUGGCUUCGUUCAACGAUCAAGCUGGAGCUGCUUCGGACCCGAAGCUGGUGCUCCCGAUUACAGGUGGUUCGUCCUCAGAGCCAGCCAACAAGAAACAGAAAAAGGAAGCACAGAGAAGGGUACAACAUGUUGGGGUGCAAGGACCCUUCAUCAAGUCAAGAUGGUCUCACAUUCCUAUUACCUUCUCCCAAGAGGACCUUCAGCUCAAGGAUUACCCACACAACGAUGCCAUGGCUAUCUCUUGUGUUAUCAAAGGAUUUCUGGUCCACAAUGUCUUGGUUGACACAGACAGUGCAGCUGAUAUCAUAUUUGCUAAGGCCUUCAGACAAAUGCAAGAGCCAGAAGAUAAGAUUCAUGAUGCUACACAUCCUCUCUGUGGCUUCGGAGGAAGACAGAUUGUAGCACUGGGCAAGAUCACCAUGUCGGUGACCUUCGGGUUCAUCAACAACACUAGAACUGAGCAAGUUGUGUUUGACAUUGUUGACAUGGAAUACCCUUACAAUGCAAUUAUUGGUCGUGGUACUCUCAAUGCUUUCGAAGCAAUUCUUCAUCCUGCUUAUCUUUGCAUGAAGAUACCUUCGGAUCAAGGACCCAUUGCUAUUCAUGGAAGUCAGGAAGCUGCUAGAAGGGCCGAAGGAAACUGGACUGACUCAAAAGCAAUCCAUAACAUAGAUGGAGCUGAAGCCUGUGAACAAUACAAAUUCAGAAGGGAGAAAGCAGCUUCAGCAGAUCAGCCGAAGCCCAUGCUCUUAUGUGAAGACAUAGCAGAGCAGAAGGUGCUGUUGGGCUCUCAACUAUCCGAAGAGCAGGAGAAAACCUUGAUAAGGUUUUUGUUCAACAAUAAAGAUGUUUUUGCAUGGUCAGCCAAUGAUCUAUGCGGAGUUAAUAGGGAUGUUAUUGAACACUCGCUCAAUGUUGAUCCAUCCUUCAGACCUAGAAAGCAGAGGCUUCGGAAAAUGUCUGAUGAUAAGGCCGAAGGUGCUCGUAAUGAAGUCAAAAGACUCCUCAGUGCAGGGGUUAUCAGAGAAGUAAAGUACCCAGAAUGGUUAGCUAACACCGUUAUGGUAAAAAAGGCCAAUGGCAAGUGGCGAAUGUGUAUUGAUUUUACAGAUCUCAACAAGGCUUGUCCGAAGGAUGAAUUCCCAUUGCCAAGAAUAGACUCUUUAGUUGAUGCGGCAGCUUCUUCAGAGCUUAUGAGUCUGUUAGACUGUUACUCAGGCUAUCACCAAAUCUGGAUGAAGAAGGAGGAUGAGUCGAAGACUAGCUUCAUAACCCCAAGUGGCACAUAUUGCUAUCUUCGGAUGCCUGAGGGGCUCAAAAACGCCGGAGGAAGUUUCAGCAGAAUGACUGCGAGGGUUCUCCAGUCUCAGAUAGGCAGAAAUGUGCUAACUUAUGUUGAUGACAUCAUUGUAAAAAGUACGAAACAGGAAAAUCAUAUUGCUGAUUUGCAGGAGACCUUCGCCAGUUUCAGACAAGCUGGUUUAAAGUUGAAUCCAGAAAAAUGUGUCUUCGGAGUAAAGAAGGGGAAAUUUCUUGGAUGCUUGGUUUCAACAAAGGGAAUUGAAGCUAAUCCAAGUAAAAUAGAAGCUAUACUUCGGAUGGAGCCACCAACUACAAAAAAGGGGGCCCAAAGAUUAACAGGGAGAUUGGCAUCUCUUAAUAGAUUUAUAUCUAGAUCAGCAGAAAGGAAUCUACCAUUCUUCGAAGUGCUGAAAUCAGCCGAAGUCUUUCAAUGGGGACCAAGCCAACAAAAAGCCUUCGAGGAGUUGAAGCAAUAUCUGAUAGAUUUAACAACACUAACUCCACCAACGCCAUGGGCUCCUUUGUUAUUAUAUGUGGCAGCUUCGCACUCAGCGGUAAGUGCAGCACUUGUCCAGGAGAAGCUUGAUGAUCAAGUCAAGAAGCAGGUCCCAGUAUAUUUUGUAUCUGAAGUUCUUAGUAUAUCAAAGAAAAACUAUACAGAAUUAGAGAAGGUGUUAUAUGCUGUUUUGAUGGCAUCCAGGAAGCUUCGGCACUAUUUUCAAGCUUACAACAUAAUUGUUCCUUCUUCACAACCUCUGAAGGAUAUUAUGAGGAACCGAGAAGCUACUGGAAGGAUUGGAAAAUGGGCUGCAGAGCUCAACGAAUUUUGUAUUGAAUAUGUUCAUAGAUCUUCGAUUUAGUCCCAGACGUUAGCAGACUUCAUUGCUGACUGGACGCCAGGGGCUCAGGAGGAAGAAACAAAUAAAGACGCCGAAGCAUGGACAGUGUUUUGCGAUGGGUCUUGGGGAACCUUCGGAGCGGGGGCGGCUGCUGUGUUGGUUUCACCUUCCAAAGUUAAAACUUGCUAUGCGGCAAAACUUGAUUUCAGUUGCACAAAUAACAUUGCCGAGUACGAAGCCCUGCUUCUGGGUCUUCGGAAGCUAAAAGCAAUGGGAAUCAGAAGGGCCAUACUUAAAACUGAUUCCUAGGUUGUUUCGGGUCAUAUUGACAAGAGUUGCAAGGCUAAAGAUCCGAAGCUUGAAAAAUAUCUAGAUAUGGUUCGAAGAGUUGAAGCUUCCUUCGAAGGAUUUUCUGUCAAAAAUAUCCCUCGAGGACAAAAUGAGCAUGCUGAUUUGCUAGCUAAGUCAGCAGCACAGGGGCUGCCCUUACCUUCGGAUGUGUUCUUCGAAACAAUAAAAGCACCUUCAGUGGAACUUCUUGAAAGAGCAGUCCUCAGUAUAUCUCCUGUUUAUAGCAAAGAUUGGAGAACUGAGAUCAUCUCUUACCUACAGGGUAAAUUCCUUUCAGAUGACGAAGCUUAUAACAGGAGGAUAGAGGCAAGAGCUCGUCCAUAUGUCAUGAUAGAAGGGGAGUUGUACAAGCAUGGAGUUUGUGCUCCGCUACUCAAGUGUUUAUCUAGAACCGAAGGCAUAGAGUUGAUGAAAGAAAUACAUGCAGGCCUGUGUGGAUCUCACAUUGGAUCUAGGCCGUUACUUAGAAAAGUUUUCCGUCAGGGGUUUUAUUGGCCGAAGGCAGCUUCGGAUGCGGCGGAAUUAGUUCAAAAGUGCGAAGGUUGUCAGAAAUGUGCAAGAGAUCAAAAACAACCUUCGUCCUUAACACAGCUCAUACAACCCAUCUGGCCAUUGCAAAGGUGGGGCCUUGACUUGUUAGGUCCGUUACCACCGGCCCAAGGGAACCUAAGAUAUGUUGUAGUGGCGGUGGAAUAUUUUUCUAAAUGGAUUGAGGCAAAGCCUUUAGCCACAAUAACUUCGGCCACCGUCCAAAAGUUUUUCUGGCAGAAUAUUGUUUGUCGUUUCGGGGUACCAAAGGCUAUCACUGUGGAUAAUGGAACACAGUUUGACUCCGAAGCUUUCAGGGAUUUCUGUGAUCAAAUUGGUACGAAGAUCCAUUUUGCAUCAGUUAGGCAUCCGGAGUCAAACGGACUCGUUGAAAGAGCCAAUGGCAUUAUAAUGACAGGAAUAAUGAAGUUAAUCUUCAAUCAACCCAGGGGAAAGUGGCCAGAUCAGUUAAGCAAAGUGGUGUGGAGCCACAAUACAACAACAUCAAGGUCUACAGGCUUUACUCCAUUCAAGUUAUUAUUCGGUGACGAAGCAAUAACUCCGGAGGAAGCUAAAACCGGAUCAAUAAGAGUAGUAGCUUCGGCAGAAUCAGGUUCCGAAGCUGCUUAUUCUGUGGAAAAAGAUGCUUUAGAAGAGAUCAGGCUGCAAGCCGUGGAGAACAUCAAUAAAUAUCAAGCCGAAACAAUCAAAUGGCGAGAUAGAAAGGUUCGGCUAAAGAAUAUUGAGCCAGGACACUUGGUGCUUCGGAGAGUGGCCAACCCAGAAACAGUGGGCAAGUUGCAGUUGAAAUGGGAUGGACCUUUCUUAGUAGCAUCUUCGUCAAGACCCGGUUCACACAGAUUGAAGGAUAUGGACGGCAACGACAUUCCUAGAUCUUGGAAUGCGGAUGAGCUUCGGCGAUAUUAUGUAUAACUCGAUGUAAUUUUUCAUAUUUUUUAUUUUUCUUUCAUGGCACCCUUUUCCUUUCUGAAGGGGGAGAAAGGUUUUUAAUGGGGCCAUCACAUGUAAUUUCCUUUUUAGUUCUAUAAGAGCAAAAUCCCCCAAGGUUGUAAAUGUAAAAGCUGAGAACGCACCAUCGAGUGCCAAAAAGUAAAGGCGAAGAAGCUCCAAAGUCGUUCCUAAGGGAAUGCAGAGCUUACAGCGAAAAGUCAAUGCUGAUUCCGCCAAAAGUAAAGGCGAAGAAGCUCCAAAGUCGUUCCUAAGGGAAUGCAGAGCUUACAGCGAAAAGUCAACGCUGAUUCCGCCAAAAGUAAAGGCGAAGAAGCUCCAAAGUCGUUCCUAAGGGAAUGCAGAGCUUACAGCGAAAAGUCAACGCUGAUUCCGCCAAAAGUAAAGGCGAAGAAGCUCCAAAGUCGUUCCUAAGGGAAU